UGUCAGUUCUCAUCCCUGUGUAACCUCUUGAAUGUCACCUCUUAAAAGAAAGCUGUCUCCCAGAUAAAUCUUCCAUGGAGGGGACUUAGGCUGAGCAGUGCAGACGUGGGCAAGGUGAUGGCCCCCGGCCCGAGGGCCAUCCUGUAUGGCAAGGUGCCAGGGCAGCCGUGCAGGACACAGCAGGCCCUGCUUUGCGGAGGUGAGACCUAGGGUUGAGAAACGUGGGUGGCUUUGGUGGGGGCUAUAGGAAAGGAUUUCUUGGAUAACUUGACCUACCUGAAGGGAACGUUAAGAUGAACCCAAACGUUUGUGGGCACGUAUCCUAGAGGGUCAAAAACAUGAUCUUUUACUGUGAUGAAUGAAUGUACUGUGGGCCCUUUCCUGACACCACAAAUUCCCUUUCUUCUUACAGAGAUGUAGUCUGAAUGCAUAUUGUUUGCAUUCAGUCUGCAACGUAAAAAUUGUCAGGAGGAAGAGAAACCUUUUCCACUGAAAAGUGACCAAACCACCAGUCAAAAGGGUACAACUGAUGUAUGACUGAAUGGAUCAAAAAAUGUCUUCAUUUUCUGCCUUGUGAAUCACCAGUACAGAGAAAUAAAGCAGAACACCACUGCGUGGUAGUCAUAGAAACCACAGUUAUCAAUGUAAAGAUCUGCAAACCUGCCUGUGUUGACUGUAACAGAAAAACAUAA
rnacentral:lncRNA from 1 species